UUACUUUUAUUGGAGGAAAACAUCUCCUAACAUCCGUGCACCCUGGUUUUCACCUGCAGGGACACUGAACGCCUAGUUUCUAUUCAGUCCUGGGCUGCUUUUUCCAGGGAACUUCUAGAUGUGGUACUGCAUUUACAGUAACACUGUCUGCUCCCAGUUGAUCUUGUAACAUCUGGUGUAUUCAAUAACUUUAUUAAAUUAGAAAAAUAAUAUUUUCCACUUUUGAAAUCCAGACCAUCACACAAAUAGAACUAGAUUUUGCAUGCGGAAUGAAUAUUUUAUUACUAGGGUAUAAAAAUAAAAUACAAAAUAAUUUUAAAACAGAACUUAAAACACUGUACAAAGCUUUAAUAUGAUACAAAUGGGAAAAUUAAAUAAAUAAUUACACUUUUCUGUACAGGUGGCCUAUACAAAAGCACUCCAGGUUUCUGCCAAUACUCUGUCCUUGGUUGCCUGAGCAAAAUCGUAUAAAGGGAGCUGCUUGGAAGGAAAGGAACACAAUGAAACACCUCUGGAGGUAUUUCAAAGAGUAGUUUCUCAUCUCUCUGAUUUCAGGAAGAGGAGAAGAGAGGGAGAGAAAAGUGGAAUUAUUAAAGUCAUCUAACUCAUUGGUCUUGUUCAACAAGAAAGAAUUCUGGUUUGUGGCUGAAUCUGAUUUAACAGCUGCCAAUAGCUCAUUACUUCUAAGAUGUAUAUCUAAUUCAAAACUAGACGCUCCCCCCUCCCUCUUUUUUUCCUAAAAGCUGGGAACUUGUAAGUAAAUGGCCUAGUGAAAUAGACACUGGCUAUUUUAGAAAAAGGGUCAGAAGGUGGACCAGGAACUAUGUAUCAGGGAGAAGUAAGCGAGGCACAAGCCCAGGUCAUCUAGGCUGUGUUUAUUCAGUCCACCCAAUCCAAUUUCAAAGCCCCAAGUGGGCCAGGGUUCCCUUUAUCUUCCCACCUUUGUAUUUCCGAAAGCUUUCUCACCUCAGUGGACUACUUUGUCUGAUGAAUAGUUCAAAGAGAACAUUGUUUUGGAAAAAGUCCCAAGGGCUUUCCCCUUCCUGGGUAGCUCCCUACAAUAAGUCAAAUUCAAGUUCUGGUAGCCUUGUCUACCCCUCGUAGGCGAGUGAAGAAUGCCCACAGAGUCCAGAUGUGGUGAAAUGCUGCGCAUGGAUUCCUCAGGAUUUAAACUGCAUAUUAUUAGAGAAAAAGAGCAUUCUAUGGCAAGGGUAGUCUAUAUAAAAACUUGGUUUACUCAAUGUUUUUAAUUAGGCGAGUGAACACUUAUGUACAUAAUAUUGAAUAAUAUUAAACUAAUAAAAAGAGAGGUAAAAUUCCUAUCCAUUGUAAUUGUAAAAUUAUGUCAUCAGCAAAUUCUAUAGUCACAUGGGCUCAAAGACCUGCCUCAUCCACUCUUGUUCCCUAGGUCAAGGGACCCAGAGCCAGGGUACCUGGGAGGCAUGGUCAGCAUCGCCAGUGCACAUACAUUCUGUGCCCAUACUACCACUAACGCUCCCAGCUGAAGAGGAGGCAGAAAACCGUUACGUUGCACAAGGCCAUGAAAGGAAAGGCUCCACUACUUUUACAUGUUACCUUAAGACCAAAGAUCCAGCAAAGUCUAAGGCAAUACGCUACUCAUUACUGAGUUAUGUUACUUUUUUGCUAUUCAGUGUCUUGAGAUUGUGUGGAAAUUCAGGGUGACCUGAUCUUGUCACAUACUUUAAUUUUCUGAUCCAAAUUUGCUGAAAGGGAAUAAUUAAACAUUAAGCUUACAUAUUUUUUUAAGUAGGAGCAGACAAUCACAACUGAAUUAGAAGACGUCUUAAUGAGCAUAAACUUUAUUUUUGUUUUUCUUUUUUUUUUUUUUUUUUUGAGACGGAGUCUUGCUCUGUCGCCCAGGCUGGAGUGCAGUGAUGUGAUCUUGGCUCACUGUAAUCCUCCGCCUCCCGGGUUCAAGUGAUUCUCCUGCCUCAGCCUCCUGAGUAGCUGGGACUAUGGGCGCCCGCCACCACACCUGGCUAAUUUUUUGUAUUUUCAGUAGAGACGGGGUUUCACCCUGUUAGCCAGGAUGGUCUCGAUCUCCUCACCUCGUGAUCUGCCCGCCUCAGCGUCCCAAAGUGCUGGGAUUACAGGCGUUGAGCCACUGCGCCUGGCCUUGUUUUUCUUUUUAAAAUUUCUGUGAGCUGCUCUAGAAAACUAAAGGGCCAAAACUUUACUGUCAUAAUUCCACGUUCAGUCAGGGAUUUCUCAGAACUGCGGUGUGCAGCAUCCAGACUCCCCUUUAUGUGGCUGGGGAUCCCUGUGCCGUGUCCUGGGCUUACCUAAGAACUACAGGAAUUCCCCAUGUGCCUCCUACAGUUUUUCUAGCAGUGUGGGUAAUGGACUCUGAAGGUUCCUGAGACUUUGUUAAACUUCUCAUAAUUCCAGAGGGAAGGCCAAAAUAUUAAGAAUACUCAAUGACAGGCUAAGUUUCCAUCUACUUCCUUAUCUCAAGUCACACACCAGAGUUCCACUGGGUGAGGACAGGGAAGUGGAAUGUCCCAACAGCCUCUUAGGGUUUUCAUGCAUUAAUCCCCCCAUAUGGGCUGAUGGUUGGAACUGCCUUUAGUUCUCUAAGUAAAGGUCUAAAAAUGCACCUGUGGUUUCUGAACUUGGGUAUAUGCUGAUACAUAAGGACUACCAUAGAAGUUACAUGCCUUAAUCCUGUAAUACUUUCAUGUGGUAUCAUUCUGCUAAUAUAUUGUCUACAGAGCCAAACCCCAAGUUACACAGUGCAACAGUACUUGUCAACCACUCCAUCUCCUCAGUGACACAGGUGCUAAAGUACCUCUCCCCUGAGGCAAAGUCCCCACACAUCUGUGACUGAAUGCAACUAUAGAAAUAUUAGCAUAAAAAAUAUGUGGCCUGGAAGAAAUCUCUGAUGAUGCUGAAGAACCUCAAGUUCCCAUCAUGGCUAGGAGUCAAGAGAAGGAGACGCUGCACACCUAAGUGCUGAAUUAGCAGCCGAGGCUUUAGUGUUUGAAAGCAAAUAAUAUAAAGUGAGUAAUGACUACAGUGGGUGUCAAUUACCAUUUUGCUACUUAUGUAGGACUCGAUUAACUUGGCAACUUCUACAAAAAACAUUCACGUCACAACAUGCAACUUAGAAAACAGUUAAUGUAACUGCGCCACUGUCAGCAAGGCCAGCUUGCAUACCAGAGUUAAGAAUGAGAGUACCUGUCUGCCUAGGGCUUAACAUUCAAAGACAUUUAUAAUCUGUGUUUUAAGGUUAAAUUUUAUAUGACCCAGUUUUCCUUCUUUGUUCACUAUCCACUAAAAUUAAAUGCCUCUAUGCUGUGCAAGAAAUCACAAUGUAUGAUUUUACUAUUUCAACCAAUCCAUAGACCCUGGGGAUUUGGCAGCAGAAUUCAGGAGAAAUGCUACCUAAAGUGAUUGAGCUGUUGCUAAUUCUACCUUCUGUUCCACUCAAGUACUUCCAGGGACUAACAAGGGAAGGCGAGGGCAACCGUGACUGACUAGGUAACCGGCUAUUCUAUUGUGGCAGAAGAAACCAGGCAGUACUUGAUUUUCAAAAGAUAAUUUUAACUGCUGCCCUAUACUACUUUUAGCAUAGUUUGGCUUGACCUUAAUAGCCAUGUCCCUCAUCUUAGGUAGAAUAACCAAAUCAGUUUAAAAUUACUUGAUCUAUGUCACUGAAACCUGAAAUAUGCCAUCACUAAGAGAACCCCCAAAUAAAAAAUAAAGAACUAAAAAACACAACCAAACCGAAUCAAACCAAAAACCUCAUUCUCUGUAUCAUACUUUAAAACAAAAAUAAAAAUCCCUGCGUCACAGGUGCUUGCUCAGGGCUGCCAACUUCUAUUUUUCGCCUGACAGACAUCUAAAAGUACAAACUAUGCUUGUAAAAACCAAAAAGUAAAUGUCUACAUAGGACGGUACUUAUAAGCGGACCUACUGAUACCACCUAUGAUAUAAUUAUGUUUUCUUUUGAAAGUAUCAGAGCAGAAACGUCUUUGGUUAAUUCUUUCCUCUACAUGCAAAAUAACAUAUUCUUACACGA